rnacentral:rRNA from 1 species
GGCAGGCUUAACACAUGCAAGUCGCAGGAGAAGGUAGACUUCGGUUUACCGGGCACUGGCGGACGGGUGAGUAACGCGUGGGGAUCUGCCUCGGAGUGGGGGACAACCGCUGGAAACGGCGGCUAAUACCGCAUACGCCCUUAGGGGGAAAACUCCGGUGCUCUGAGAUGAUCCCGCGUCGGAUUAGCUAGUUGGUGGGGUAACGGCCCACCAAGGCUGCGAUGUCUAGCGGGUCUGAGAGGAUGAUCCGCCAC